GCCUCGUCUUUUCCUUCAGGUUGGUCGUUUGUCGUCUAAGUGGCAAGGUGAGCUAAUUACUUUGUUCAAUCUAGGGUCAAGAUUCAUCUCCCCUUCACCAUUAUUCACUUUCUAUGCAAUUAUUCCAUUGAUCCAUAAGUUUGGCAUCCUCUGUUUGAGCAUUUAGCUUGCUUUUGCUGCCAAUUACAAAUUGUUUGCAUCUGAACACCAGUGGCGGAGCUAUGUGUGCUCCUGGGGGUGCUGUGGCCCCCCCAGCCUAAGCAAAAAGUGCGAAGGAAUUUUUUUAGAGGGUUUAGAUGAAUAUAAAUUUAGUAUCUGGCCCCCUCAGGUCUGCCAGUUUUACCAUUUGCCCCCCCCCCCCUAGACUUUCUUCCUAGCUCCGCCAGUGCUGAACAUACUGGCCCAUUUCACCAAGGAAAUUCCCUUGCUAUGCUAAAGUAAACCUGUUAUCAAUUGCAUUUUUUAACAAAACUUAUCACUACUUACUAUACUUAGUUUCUACUGAUUUUCACCGAGAAAUAUUGGAGGCUAGGUAGUUGAAUUCAAAAUCGGUCCUAUAAGCCCUAUGUAGUUCCCAUUCACUUUAUAAAGGUAGGCGAAGCACGCACGAACCAAUAGCAACUACAUGAUGCAGCCGCUCAACGCCCAAUCCAAUUUUGCUGCAUCACACACCUUUAAAAAGACACUUCAUUGUUUAAUCCGCAUUUUUUGGGACUUGGUACAUCCGGAAAAUGAUUGACUCCGGACUUCUUAAGAAGGCUAUAGGAAGAGGGUUUAGAGAUCCUUCUUCGCAAAACCGGGAAAUUUCAGGGAGAUUGUUUUAAAGGCACCUAGCUAUUUCAGUACUCUCUCUAAUAGUCGGUUCGGUGUCCUAUUGUUCAAUCAAUUUUGUGAACCCGCAGAAAAGCAGUACUUGUUUAUCGAAACAGAAUAAUGUUAUGACCAUCCAGAAGUUCCUUUGGAGUUUCCAUGAUCAAUUUAACUUAUAAAACCUUUUUGUUAUGUACUAUUCAUGUUUUUUUGGAAAAUAGAAUAAUAUUAUGAGUAUCCAAAAGUUCCUUUGGAGUUUCAUGAUCAAAUGAACUUAAAACUUAUUUCAUUAUGCACACAUGUUUUUUUGGUCAGUACUUAUAAGAUCUUGCCGAAUAAUUUUCCGAAAUUUUCACCAAGCAACUGUUUUUUUCUUCAGGAUUGUGGGAAAUAGGAGCUCAGCUGCUAGGCCAUUCUAUUGGUGUACCAAUUCUGGAUUAUUCAUUAUGUUCUCUUUAUUGCUAAUGAUAAACGUCCUUCCAGUAUGACAACCUUAAAUUUCGCCAUUCUAUUGGUGAUUUUUUGGUAUUUCAUUGCAGGAGACACCAAAUGUAGAGUCACCAUAUCUAACUUUUACUUUGACAUGGCUGGGUGUUCGUCUUCUACAUAUCUGUUUUAUGCUCUAUUGUCUACUUACCAACAAGAAGAUAAGUUGAAUGCUUCACCUUGGCAAAGUGCAGCUGU
rnacentral:lncRNA from 1 species